GAUGAACGCUAGCUACAGGCUUAACACAUGCAAGUCGAGGGGAAACGAUAUUGGAAGCUUGCUUCCGAUAGGCGUCGACCGGCGCACGGGUGAGUAACGCGUAUCCAACCUGCCCACCACUUGGGGUUAACCUUGCGAAAGUAAGACUAAUACCCAAUGAUAUCUCUAGAAGACAGCUGAAGUAGAUUAAAGAUUCAUCGGUGAUGGAUGGGUAUGCGUCUGAUUAGCUUGUUGGCGGGGUAACGGCCCAACAAGGCGACGAUCAGUAGGGGUUCUGAGAGGAAGGUCCCCCACAUUGGAACUGAGACACGGACCAAACUCCUACGGGAGGCAGCAGUGAGGAAUAUUGGUCAAUGGGCGAGAGCCUGAACCAGCCAAGUAGCGUGCAGGAUGACGGACCUAUGGGUUGUAAACUGCUUUUAUAAGGGAAUAAAGUGAGUCUCGUGAGACUUUUUGCAUGUACCUUAUGAAUAAGGACCGGCUAAUUCCGUGCCAGCCGCCGCAGUAA
rnacentral:rRNA from 1 species